GCCUCGAUAGCUCAGUUGGGAGAGCGUUAGACUGAAGAUCUAAAGGUCACCAGUUCGAUCCUUUUUCUUUGCA
rnacentral:tRNA from 1 species